rnacentral:snRNA from 1 species
GGAUGCAAGGAUGAUCUGGCGGAGACAUCUGUCACUCUAUUAAUCACCAGGGUUGAUUCAGCUGAUCUCGGCAGGGGAGGUAGGUGUCCUCUUCCCCCCUCACCACUCCACAUGCGUCCCUCCUGGAGCUGCUUGCUCAGUCAAAGAGGAUGACCAUUCCUGCUAGAGGAGCACUGUUCUCUGGUCCCAGGUUUAUGAGUAGUUAUGCUCCCCUGCUAGAACCUCCAAACAAACUCUCAAAAAGCAGAUCACUUCCACCUGAGUACUAGGUGAGGACAGCCAAGGGUUUAGGGUUGCCAGGUAAAAUAUAGGCAUCCUGUAUUUGUAUUU